GUUGCACACGCGCGUUCGACUUCUCGUUCCUCCUCCGCAGGUGAUGGAGCAGAUCGCCCAAGGAGACCACGGGCCCCAGGCUCCAUCAACUAUAUGAGAAGAAGAAAGUUUAUCCUUUCCUCCCAGCUGAGGCACGGGGGCGUUACAGUGACGGAUUCGUGUGAUCUGCCCCUCCCCACAGGUUACCGAACAAGACGACCAGGGGGACCACAAACUCCAACCUCCAUCUUGACGUACUAUAAAGAAAGUCAAAGAGAUAACUGACACAGGCAGUUUGUCGACUGCUAUCCAAGAGACCAGCUGCUAACAUCUGUCAGUUAUAAAACGCAUUUAAGUCAACCGUAAGCCAGAGUUAGAAGACAGAUUUUGCAUUGGCACACCACAAAGAGCUACAUGACAUUCAUUAGAAGUUCACAGAGAGUAAAGAAUACCAGUUCAUUCAACUCUCUGAUGUGUUUAUCUAUUAGCACACACUUUAUAUACAACAGAUACUGAAAAUACAAAAAACUUCUGAUUGCCACAAAAUUAGGUACCGUCAGUAUCACAUGACUUGUAAUAAGUGAUUUUGCUGAAAUUAAA